GAUGAACGCUGGCGGCGUGCCUAACACAUGCAAGUCGAACGGAAAGACGAGGAGCUUGUUCCUUUGCCGUUAGCGGCGGGCGGGUGAGUAACACGUGGAUAACCUACCGCUAUUACGGGGAUGACUUCGGGAAACCGGAUCUAAUACCAGAGAAUAUAUUGUACGGUAGGGUUCAGUAGAGAUUGAUGGGUUUGGGGUCAGAUAUAGGCGGAUCCGCGUCUGAUUAGCUAGUUGGUAAGGUAACGGCUUACCAAGGCGACGAUGCGUAGCCGAGCUGAGAGGGUGAUCCGCCACACUGGAACUGAGACACGGUCCAGACUCCUACGGGAGGCAGCAGUAGGGACUGUUGGGCAAUGGGCGAAAGCUUGACGGAGCAACGCCGCGUGGGUGAUGAAGGUCUUCGGGUCGUAAAACUCUUUUAUUGGGGAAGAACAAAUGCGUAAGUAACUAUGCAUGUUUUGACGGUACCUAAAGAAAAAGCCCCGGCUAACUACGUG
rnacentral:rRNA from 1 species